rnacentral:other from 1 species
GAACCCCUGCCGUGUUCGUGAUUGGAAGUAGUUUUUUGACCCAACAUUCAACCCAUGGGUGCCUUCGCUGAUUUCGGUGUGCAUGUUCUGCUCGUUCAGAAAAGCCUAAAGAAACUAUAAGGCGCCCACCUGACUGAAAGGGUUUAAAGACCUGCCACACGGCACUGUGGCGGGGGUUCA